AUCUGACAGAAGACUCUCCAUAUA
rnacentral:siRNA from 1 species